AGUUCCUGAGAGCGGCGAAAGGGAGAGCAAUACGUAGUUACGUGCCCCGAGGACCGGAAUAGCCACGGGAAACUGUGGGUAAUGCCGGAUGUUGUCUUCGGACUAAAGGUGUGAUUCCGCCUUGGGAGCGGACUGCGUUGUACUAGUUAGUUAGUGGGGUAAUGGCCUACCAAGGCGAUGAUGCAUAGCGGGCGUGAGAGCGUGGCCCGCCUCACUGGACUGAGACACUGCCCAGACACCUACGGGUGGCUGCAGUCGAGAAUCUUCGGCAAUGGGCGAAAGCCUGACCGAGCGACGCCGCGUGCGGGAUGAAGGCCUUCGGGUUGUAAACCGCUGUCGUAGGGGAGGAAAUUGAUCGGGGUUCUCCCCGGUUAUUGACCUAUCCUAGGAGGAAGGACGGGCUAAGUUCGUGCCAGCAGCCGCGGUAAUACGAACCGUCCAAACGUUAUUCGGAAUCAUUGGGCUUAAAGGGUACGUAGGCGGCGCUGUCAGUCGGGUGUGAAAGCCCUCGGCUCAACCGAGGAAUUGCGCCCGAUACUGCAGUGCUUGAGGGAGACAGAGGUAAGCGGAACUGAUGGUGGAGCGGUGAAAUGCGUUGAUAUCAUCAGGAACACCGGUGGCGAAAGCGGCUUACUGGGUCUCUUCUGACGCUGAGGUACGAAAGCUAGGGGAGCGAAGGGGAUUAGAUACCCCCGUAGUCCUAGCUGUAAACGUUGAGCACUUGACCGUGGACCCCCCCAUAGGUUCUCGGUCGUAGCGAAAGUGUUAAGUGCUCCGCCUGGGGAGUAUGGUCGCAAGGCUGAAACUCAAAGGAAUUGACGGGGGCUCACACAAGCGGUGGAGGAUGUGGCUUAAUUCGAGCUACGCGAAGAACCUUAUCCUAGUCUUGACAUGCACGGAUCAAGCCGGUGAAAGCCGGCCCACGCCUUCGGGUGGAACGUGCACAGGUGCUGCAUGGCUGUCGUCAGCUCGUGACGUGAGAUGUCGGGUUAAGUCCCUUAACGAGCGAAACCCUUGUCGCUAGUUGCCAGCGGGUCAUGUCGGGGACUCUAGCGAGACCGCCGGCGUUAAGCCGGAGGAAGGUGGGGAUGACGUCAAGUCCUCAUGGCCUUUAUGACUAGGGCUGCACACGUCCUACAAUGCUGCGCACAAUGGGAAGCAAACUCGCGAGAGCCAGCAAAUCCCAAAAAACGCAGCCCAGUUCGGAUUGCAGGCUGCAACCCGCCUGCAUGAAGCCGGAAUCGCUAGUAAUCGCGGGUCAGCAUACCGCGGUGAAUGUGUUCCUGAGCCUUGUACACACCGCCCGUCAAGCCACGAAAGUGGGAGGCGCUUAAAGUCGCUGCGCAAACCCGCAAGGGAUGCAGGCGCCUAGAGCGAAUUCCGCGAUUGGGACUAAGUCGUAACAAGGUA
rnacentral:rRNA from 1 species